rnacentral:rRNA from 1 species
GGCCUUCCGUCUCUCGUGAGGGUGGAAGGCAAGGAAAGGAGAGGUAACGCAUCGGACCUCUAAUCGGAAAAGACUACCCGCCGAGUUUAA